rnacentral:rRNA from 1 species
AUUGAACGCUGGCGGCAGGCCUAACACAUGCAAGUCGAGCGGAUGAAGGGAGCUUGCUCCUGGAUUCAGCGGCGGACGGGUGAGUAAUGCCUAGGAAUCUGCCUGGUAGUGGGGGAUAACGUCCGGAAACGGGCGCUAAUACCGCAUACGUCCUGAGGGAGAAAGUGGGGGAUCUUCGGACCUCACGCUAUCAGAUGAGCCUAGGUCGGAUUAGCUAGUUGGUGGGGUAAAGGCCUACCAAGGCGACGAUCCGUAACCGGCCUGAGAGGAUGAUCAGUCACACUGGAACUGAGACACGGUCCAGACUCCUACGGGAGGCAGCAGUGGGGAAUAUUGGACAAAGGGCGAAAGCCUGAUCCAGCCAUGCCGCGUGUGUGAAGAAGGUCUUCGGAUUGUAAAGCACUUUAAGUUGGGAGGAAGGGCAGUAAGUUAAUACCUUGCUGUUUUGACGUUACCAACAGAAUAAGCACCGGCUAACUUCGUG